UGGGAUAGAACAGUAGGACUAAAUUUCGAACUCUUAAAAACUUUCACUCUUAUAUACAAGGUGAUCUAUUAAAUUUAAUUCACAUUAAGCCAGUUUAAAAACAAGGUCUACAAGCAGAAGUGGGGUUCUACAAGCUAUGGGUCUCGUCCUCCUCUUCAUCAUCCUCCACACUCCAACUGGAGCCUUCAGCAGACUACACUGAACUUUCGAGAUCUUCAAAAUCCAAGUCUACUGCAUCUAGGGACUUGAAAUGGUUAUUUAAUAACCAAUGAAACAACGUCUUAGCAAGUUCUACCCCCUAAAACUCGUUUAGUAAAUUAAUACACCUUAGGGCUGCUUAUGCACAACACGAGUCAGAGGAUUUACCUUGGCCUCAGAGUUUGCCCUGCAUAUUAGCACAAAUCAAAUAGGCACCUAAGCAAUCAUAUCAAAGAUCGAUAUCUCGAUCAAUCGAGCUAGUCGAUUACCAAUAAACAAGACCACUCAUCAGUCAUUUCUAUUCAAUCAAUUAAUUCACAACAUCAUAUCAAAGCAAUGAUCAAUCGACCUAAUUGAUUACAUAUCCAUCAGACCAUACAUUCCCCACAAUGUAUAUCUAGUUGUCAAGCACACAUGACACAUGCAUUCUCUUAGGCACUAGUUCACCAAAGUCAUGUAUCAAAUCAUUGAGCUCAUGUGUCUCUUCCAAGAUGCCACACAUAAGUCCUUGGGCCCACGUCCAUUCUCUUAGGCACUCGCUUGCCAAAGUGAUGCAUCAAUUCACCGAGUUCACGUGCCCUUUUUACGAUGCCCAGGCCCACGUGCCUUCUCUUAGGUACUAGUUUACCAAAGUGACGCAUCAAAUCACUGAGCCCACGUGCCCUUUUAGAUGCCAUACUUAAUCAUUGGACCCACGUGCAUUCUCUUAGGCACCAAGUCUGCCAAAGUGAUGCAUCAAAUCACCGAGCCCACGUGUCCUUUUAGAUGUCAUACCGAAACAUUGGGCCCACGCGCAUUCUCUUAGGUACUAGUUCGCCAAAGUGAUGUAUCGGAUCACUGAGCCCACGUGCCCUUUUUAGAUGCCAAUACUUAAUCACCGAGCCAACGUACCAUUCUCCAGGUGAUUUACUUUCUACCAUGAUUCCACUAUGAAACAACUCCUUUCUCUAUAGAUCACCAGUCUACUAUCAAUACUGACCAUCGAUAUCCGAUCAUUUCCCAAUCAAAUAAUCAAAAACAACCAUUUAGGAAUAUAUCCUAAAAUUCCAUAUUUAAUUCAAUUCAGCACGAUUCAAAGCUCAAAUAAAUAAACGGAUUGCACCACGACAAUUAGCACGAAAUUGCAAUCACCGGCCAUCCUGGUUGAAUUUUCGGAAAAAUAAAUAAUUAAAUAAAUAAUUUCGAAAAUUAAAUAAAUAAACAUUAAAAAUCCAAUUUAGGCCCGUGAUACCUAAUUGGAACUCGAAACGGGUCGGGAAAACCCCGAGAUACAUUCAAUAAAUAUUAGAAUCUCUCUACUGGUUAAUGACUAAGUCCAACCACCUAACAUGCAUCAUUAAGUCACUAAUUUAAUUGUUCGAAACUAAUCUAAUCGCCUAAUUGCGCUUAAUUAAAUCUAAUCAACCCUUAGGUAUAAUUAGCAAACUAAGAAAGCAUUAGUGAGUAAAACUCACUUGGCAAAGUGAAGAUCGGAACAUUGCGAUGGCGAUGCAAUAGCGGUCGAAAUCCAAAUUUUUGGCAGCGUCGGCGGAUACUCGGGUCGGGCCAAAAAGCCUUGCAAGCCCCACAGAGAACUAUUGGGCUUGGAUUGCUGAAGUCUCAGGCCGAAUUGCUGAAUUAACGGGCUGAACUUCAAAGCCAAAGGUGGGCUUGAAACUUGAUGGAGAUGAUGGGCCGAACUUAUUGGAUCCUUGGGCUUCGCUGGAAAUGGGCUGAGCUGAAAACAAUUGCGAACUGGGCUGAGUUGCUGAAGAUGGGCUUGACAAAUUCGUGUGGGCUGAAGAAAAAAAAACUUUUGUGGACUGCUGCAGCUGAAGCCUCGGCUGGGCUUGACUUCAAUUGGGUCGUGCAAGAAGCAGCAAGGGCUGCUGACUGAAGAGCUGUUGGACUAGGUUUUGCUGGGCCGAAGAUCUGAAGAUGCUGGGCUGAAGAGGCCGAACUUUAGCCUGUCUCACACGGGCUAGAUGGACGCUGGCGCACGGAGGAAAAUGGAGGGCGACGCACGCGGUUUCGUUGGUCUUCGGUUGCUUCGUGCGCGGCAGCAAGGAAGGCCGCUCGGUGGAGAUUCGUGCGUUGCUGCUGCAGACUACGCGGACGAAGAAGCAGCUUGCUGUCUUCGAUGGGGAAAAACGACCGACCGUGCGAUGGGAGGAGAGAGAUCACGGGGCUGUGGUAUUCAGUGGAGCUGCAGUUAACCAAGGACGUGGCAGCAAGCGGUUGGACAGAAGACGUGUGGAUGGGGCAGGCGUCGGGGACGAAACGAAGAUGCUGAAGCUGAGCGUUGAAGACCUGCUGGGAUUGAAGAAACCGAAGGGAACAAACGUGAGUGGAGCAGGGGCAAGCUAGCAGGAGGAGUCAACUGCUAGGCUUUCGGUGGCUUGCUGUUGACCGUGAAAGAGCAGGCUGUGAACACGUAGAGAAGCAGACGUCGCUGGCAAGGGUCUUCGGUCAGCAAGGCUUCAUGAAAUUUUGAAGCCGCGUGGAGCUUCGGUCUUCGUGGGCAGAGAAGACUGAGAUGCUGGCUCAAGUGGGGUUUCGUUGAGUGGAGAGAGAUGAGGAGAGCAGCGAAGGAAAUUAAGGAAAUGAAAUUGAAGCAGAACUUGGUGGAGUCGGCCGUGAAGAUGAGGCGCACGAAGAGAUGAAAGACCGGCAAGCAAUGGUGCUCAAGUGGUCUUGCAAAAAGGGGCCCCAAAGUCAAUCAAGCUUAUCCCUAAAUUGAAUGCUUGGACUCGC
rnacentral:lncRNA from 1 species